rnacentral:rRNA from 1 species
UACGGAGGGGGCGAGCGUUGUUCGGAUUUACUGGGCGUAAAGCGUGCGUAGGUGGCUUCCCAAGUAAGAAGUGAAAGCCCAGGGCUUAACCCUGGAAUUGCUUUUUAAACUGGGUCGCUAGAAUUUAGGAGGGGCAGAUGGAAUUCCGAGUGUAGAGGUGAAAUUCGUAGAUAUUCGGAGGAACACCAGUGGCGAAGGCGGCUCACUGGUCCAUUACUGACGCUGAGGUGCGAAAGCGUGGGGAGCAAACAGG